rnacentral:lncRNA from 1 species
CUUUUAAAGGACACCGAUCUGAGUCGGGGAGGUCAGGAACAGGUUCAGAUAACCAUGGUAUGCCGGAGCAAGGCUGGAGAUGACCUUGGAACCUCGAAUUUGCAGAGGUUUGGGUGCAAAUAUUCAAGGUCAAGCCUCGAAUCUUCAGAGAUCAGUUGUGUAGGAGCAAGGGGAGGUGAGUAUAGGGCUCUCACGGCCUAGGAAUCCAUUGAUUCUUGUGGGUUUCAAGGUGGAAGAAGAUGAGAGGCGAAUAGGGUUAGGGAAACUUCAAGAGAGUUUGAGAGAGAGGGGUAAUUUCAGA